UAGGGAAUUUUGCGCAAUGGGGGCAACCCUGACGCAGCAACGCCGCGUGAGUGAUGAAGGAUUUCGGUUCGUAAAGCUCUGUUGCAGGGGAAGAAAUUUGACGGUACUCUGCGAGAAAGGAACGGCCAACUUCGUGCCAGCAGCCGCGGUAAGACGAAGGUUCCAAGCGUUGUUCGGAAUUAUUGGGCGUAAAGAGUCUGUAGGUGGCUAUAUAAGUCCGAUGUGAAAGCCCGGAGCUCAACUCCGGAAUUGCAUUUGAUACUGUAUAGCUUGAGUACGGGAGAGGGUUGUGGAAUUCCUGGUGUAGUGGUGAAAUACGUAGAUAUCAGGAGGAACAUCGGUGGCGAAGGCGGCAACCUGGUCCGAUACUGACACUGAGAGACGAAAGUGUGGGGAUCAAACAGG
rnacentral:rRNA from 1 species